UCAUACUCGUUUCUCUCUCUGUUCUCGUUUUUUUAAUUUCCUCCCUGCUAACGAGUAUCCUUUUAUACACGUAUUACCAACGAGGCGAGCGAAUUCCCGCGAAUAGACUCGAAAUUAUUCAAAUUGUAGUUUACGAAAUGAAUUAUUCAAUUAUUUCCCGAAGAAGCGGUCGCCACGCUCCACGGCAUACGGAACGAGAACCGCGGCUUUCGUCCGUGUCUUUACAAAUUUACGCUCUCACUGAAUUUUGAUCGCGUUGGAAUUCCCGAAAACUCCUUUUCCUCGCUACUAUCGUCGUCCUCGUUCAUUUUUACGAGAAAGUUUCCUUACCCUGUUCUGGAACUGUAUUCCGAAUCAAAUAGUAUUCAAUUACGAAACGAUUCUUUCUCUUUUGCAGUCCCCCGGUAUCUUGUAUGUAUCAUUGAUAUUCAAUUAGCGGUAGCCCGUUUUAUUAUUCAUUUCAUUACCAGGUCUAGCCUCUUAAUCAACUUCUACACCCUUAUCUCUAACAACUCCGGUAUCUUAGAGUGGAUUCUUCGCUUGAAGGCAAUGAAUAAAACUAUCUCACCAAUUCGUCUACCUAAUUCCUCCGUCUCAAUACUUUUCGUUCGUUUCUCUCUUUCUCUUCAUUUUCACUUUUUUCUUCUUUUUCCCUCAAAUCCUUUUGCACAUACACCCCUCUUUGUUUCCAACCUUUUCUACAUUCCUUUUUACAAUUCCACCUCGUUCCUCUCUUUUCUUCUUCUCUUCCUCUCUUCCUCUAUCUCUUGAACUUCCUCCUGUUUCCCCUCCUAUACACAUCUGCCUCGUCCAUCCUUUUCCCACCCAACGAAGCAUUGUCUUUUCCGUCCAUCCUUCUUAAGAGUGUCAGUUCUCUCUGGCAGCUGGCUCUUUGUGUACCACCGCGUCUGUCUUUACAAUUCGCAGGCUUUUCCACUGUCUUUCACUCAUUUUUACUCUCGUUCCUCUUCCUCAUGCCCAUUAUCUCUGUCACCUUCCAUGCAGCAGAGCACGCCCACUUUCCCGCUCUAUCCUUCGGCCCGGUAUACGCAAUUUUCCAUCGUCCCUCCAACUGCUGUCCCCUACCCCCUACCCCACUUACCUCCUGUCCUCUCGUUUUCAUCUUUUCUAUCCCAUCGUUCUCCUCCCCCUCUCCUCUCUUCAUUCGCGUCCACGCUCUUCAUCCGUGUUCUCACUCUUUAUCCCCACCAUUACUACUCUAGCGUUCUCUACCUACCCUAUCGACUUUACAGUGCUCAAUGUCUCCCUUUUUCUCUCAUAUACUGUCCUUUCUUCGUCAUUCUACCAACUCGUCCCUCCCCUACACGCCACCACUCCUCUUCACCGUUAUUUAUCUCGCCUAUUCCCCCUUCAAACAGGCUGCUUCUGGUGUAUCAGUUCUCGUCCCUCUUCCACGCAUAUCCCUCUCGUUCAACGCCAGACAGUGUGUCAACACCUGCACUACACACACUAUGGUCUUCGUGUUGCCUUUCUUCCCUUUUUUCUUCCCCUUGCUUUCUUCUUCGCUUUUUUUUCAAUUUCCUUCUUCUUUUAACUCUUCGAUUCGGAUUAGGUUUAUCCCUCCCUUGUAAUUUGAUGUUUUAUUUGUUUUAUUUAUUUCGUUAGAGUAGAUUUCUAUUCACGUGACUCUGUUGGUGGGUAAAUAAUUUGUACAUAUGUGAUGUGUUGUAACAUAUGUGAACUUAGAUUAUAUUGUGUAGCAAAUUAGCCCUGUUGUUAUUACAUGUAUUGUUGUAAAUAUAGAAACGAGACGAAUUUAUGUUAUUAAUCAACAUAAUUGAAGUUCGUAUAACAGACGUUCACGUUAGUGUGCAUGAGUUCAACUGCCAGCAGUUAGCUUAACCUAUUAGCUGAGUUUAACGAGAAAUGGCUAUAAUCAAAACAUUAAGAAUGAAUCAAAUGGAUCGAGUUUCACCUUUGUAAAUCUAUUUUUCAAAUUUUCAGCUGGAAUUUCAACGCAGUAUAAUAUACAAAUAUACUAUAUCGUGUUUCAAGGGAGGUAGCAUUGUUUGAGGAGGGAUUGUGAGUUUUGCAAGUUCGGUUUGGAGAAGUUUGCGAUGGGAUUAACUGCAUGAUUGUGUCGACGCUGUUUCUGUCGCGUGGGCCGUACUAGUCGUACAUGCACCACGGCAGAGCGCGGAUGGAUAUCUGGAUUUAAAAUCUUUUGCGCAAAAUGGCGCAUUGCUAUAGAGAUAUUAAGAAUUGUUGAUUUAUAUAGGGACUUGGCGAUUAGCAGUUAAAUAUACAAAGGACGCGAAAAUUAAAGACUUUCAAAUAUUAUGAUAUUAUUUUUGGUUAAUGUUUUAAUAUCUUGAGUUUUCAUAUUUUUUAUACUUUUAACUGCAAUGGUAAUAUUUUGUGACAUAUACAUCUAUAUUUACAAUGAAAUAUCGCAUAUUUUUCGACCUGGCGAGAAGGCAGUAUCCAAUUUUUAAAAAUAAACGUAACAGAAGAUGUUUUCUCUUUGAAGCAUUUAAAAGUAGCAUGAAAAUAGAAAAAAACGUGGAGUUGUGCGGCGAAAACGGGAAGUCACGAAGAAUCAGUCCCGCGGGCGUUAACCAGACUUCCGGCGUAAUUAAUUUCCGAUCGAUGAGAAAGUUAGCGGAAGAUUUAAUGUUCCUAGAGUUAUUACAUUCCUUCCAAACUCUUCACCGGAAGUAUAAGUAUAUCCCUUGGGAGGAAAAUCCCUUCAAAACGAUUUCUCUAAUUAUAUCCUUUAUCGAAGGUCACAGAAGUACAACGCCUUUCAUAAGUCGCCAAACAUUUACCAGGUUUAAUCUUUUAAGACAUAUCUAUUGACAUGGACUGGCUUAUAAAAGUAUUUGGAUGUUUAUCAUAAAAACUUUUAUGUCCAUAUUGUAUUUACUGUAUAAAACGUUUUAAAAUUUUAUUAGUAUUGUAAGAAGACACAAUACACGACAUAAUAUGAUAGUGGCCUUUGUUUGAAUAGAGGAGUGUUAGCAAUAGUAAAAGAACUCUUAUUUAAUUUUCAUGGUAGAAGGGAAAUAAAAUAUGAAGGAUAUAUAAUUUUCCAUUCUUUACCUUUUUUCGUUAAUUCAAGCAUGAUUUCAAAAGAUAUAGUGAAUUUUAUUGUAAAUAAAUAUGAUCGAAUUACUUAAAUAUGAUCGAAUUGUACACAAUUUUCGAAUGAAUAGUUAAACUUAACAUUAAAGUGUAUAUUGCAUAUCUAGGAAAGAUAAAAAAUAAUUAUCUAUUUUUGAUGUAUAUGAAUUUUUUCUUGAAUAAGUAUAUAAUUUUUUAUUACAAGUUAUAUAAUUUUUCUUAAAACAGGUUUAUGAUAAGAUUUUUGAGAUAUAAUAUAAUUUAGUUUUCCUUCUAUUACACCCGGUUAAUAAGUGUCAGCUUCAUCUUGUAAUUAUAACGGUCAUUUAUCCCUAGCCUGAAUGUAUAGUUGGUGGAAGAGAUAUAGUGAGGUCGUAAAUUAAGGUAUUAAUCGGCGGACCCAAGAAAAAGAUUAAUGGACUACAUAUCUCAUUAAAAAAAGUUAUAUAAUCCUCUAUUCUUUUCCUAGAUCUAAGUGCAUUAUAGUUCGUAUUGUUAUAGUAUUUAUUGCUAAAAAACGAAUCUAUUUCGAAAAGACAAAUAAUAAUUGUUGAAUAAUUUGACGAACUAUUAUAAAUAUCCACUGUGUUACUGUAUAUCGUGCUUUCUAUAUGUAGGGUCUACAGGACGAGUUAACUCCGUUACUCUCAUAAUUAGCUAAUCCUACUAAUAAUAACAACUUAUGUUACCGUGUUUUAAAAAUAUACAAAUUAACGCAUGGUAGUGAUAUAUCUGAUUUCUGAAUGGUAGUAUAUUUUUCUUACGUCACGACUACCGUUAAUCUUGAGAAACAUUCGCCAUCUUCACUGCGUACUUUCCUUUUAUCAAGUUUGUAUGAUUGAACCUAACCUAUCUUGUUAUUGCAAUUAGACUACCGCUUUGCUUCUAUAAUUAGUUAAUCCUAUUAGCGACUUGUAUGCACAUUUAAAGAUCAUUUAAAUUAACACAUGCAACUGAUGUGAGUAUCCAUCGAUUUAUGAAUUAGAUAUAUGUAUUGUAUAUUUCAUGUUUCACAUUCAUCCUAUUGCUACCCUUCCGAUUCUCCUAAUUCCAACGAGACCGAUUUCUUUUCCGUUAUUAUUUUCCUGUCCAAUACCAUUUCUACUAUAUUCAAUAAGGCAAUGAACCAAUUAGUCGAUAAAAAAACUUUUUCGAUCUCCAACUUCCCCCACCACUACCCUUUCCUCUCCUUCCCCUCCUUUCCUCCUUCGACCAAAGUGCUCCACCUAUUCUUUUUUCGCCUGUUCCAACUUCAGCAGCGUCCAUUUUUACUUCUUGCUCAAACUCUUCCUUUUGUUAUUUUUCCUCCGACCACCUUUUAGGCGGGUUUCCACCGGGGAGUUUCUCUUUCACGAUUCACUCGACGCCCACCGUGGACGAGGUGACCGUGCAGAACGAUCGGAUUAAUUUUUUUUUUCUUCCCCUUUUCCUUCUUCUUCUUCCCCUUUUUUCUUCUUCUUCUUCCUUUUUUCUUUUUUGUCGUUGAAAUCCAUGAGGCUUAUGAAUCAAUUUUUUAAUCACUCGAUUACAUCAACCAUCAGUUCCGUUUCAGAUAUAUAGACAUAGGUGCUUUUCCUUUUUCUUUUUCUUUCCCUAUUUUUUCUUUGACUUCUUCUUUUUCUUUGUCGUUAUAAUCCACGAGGCCUCUGUAUCAAUAUUUUAAUCACUCGAUUACAUCAGCCAUCAGUUUAGUUUCCAAUACAGGUACUGCUGCAUUUUAUUUCUUUUUCUUUCUCUAUUUUUUGUUUGAUUUCUCUCGUUUUUUUCCGUCGUUGAAAUCUAUGAAGCUUAUGAAUCAAUAUCUUAAUCAUUCGAUUACAUCAGCCAUCAGUUUCGUUCCCGAUACAGACAUGGUUGCUCUUUUUCUUCUCCCUCUACCUCUUUCUCUUUUUCUAUUUUUUGUUUGAUUUCUUCUUCUUUUUUUUUCGUCAUUAAAAUCUAUGAGGAUUAUGAAUUAAUUAUUUAAUCACCCGUUUACAUCAGUUACCAGUUCCGUUUCCGGUAAAGACAGGUUCUUUUUCUCUUUUCGCUGCUUAUUACGAUUACCUUUUUCGAAUACUUCGUUAAACUUCCACGCCAACUACUCCAUCUAACACGAUCUUUCUCUCAUUCACGCACACAGCUUCACUACAUUCGCCUGUCUAAGUAAGAACAUCUUUCGUUAGUUAAACAUAACUUUGCUAUGAGUUGUGAGGGUAAGGUUGUCGUUUCCUUCAUUGUUGGAGUUGUGUUCUUCUUCUUUUGUUGGGUCACUGUUUGUUUGUUCUUUAAGAGAGAGAGAAAGAGAGAGAGAUUUGAGGUUGGGAUUGGUUUGAUACACUUUAGGCUUCGUUACUUUUUUAGUAAUUUUUCAAAGUAACAUUUAUGGAACGAUGCGAAAAGUGAGGUUAAGUAGAGUAAAAUGUAAAAAUAGAUAGAUAUCGAUAUCGAGAUUGAACAAUUUCAGUACCACCAUUCGCAUUUUCGAUUGUACGAAAUUUUCAAAUUUUAAUUCUUCAACAUUUUCAAAAUUUCAAAUUCUCAUACUUCUAAAAUUCAUCGUGCAAUGGUAUCAUGUUUACUCAAAUUCUAUGCGCUACUUUACUGCUUGGUCCUUGAUUGGUUAUUUACGAUACUAAAAACAAAUGAAAUAUGUUUUUAUUUCGGUUUUAAGAAUAUUAUUCAACAAAAUCAUUUAAUCUGACAUCGACGAUAAAUAUUUCAUAAUGUACAUCGUGCACGUGCGACGUACAGCGUUGGUUUGAGAAUCGCUGUGCUAAAUAAUUCGAAACUCUGCCAUCCGAUACAAAACUACAGUUCAAUAGUAUUGGACAUUUAAAAAUAGAUAUGCAGUAGCAGACAAAAGGAAAUUUAAAAUUGAUGCCCAUAUCUAUAUACGUAUGAAUUUCCAGUAAUUUUUGUAUUUCACGCCGUGCUAUACGUAUGUACCUAUAUAUUUACAUCGUAUUUAUUCAUUGCUUUCCGCGAUAAAUACUCACACUAAAUUUCACUUCCUACGCUUUUAUAUUUUAUUUGCCUUUUAUUUCAUCGUUUAUUUUACUUUUUUCUUCUUUAACUCUAACCUUACCAGGCUCGGUUUCAAACUUUAAUUUAAAAUUUUACAUUCAUUAUUAUUCCUUUUGUUCAUCUGACUUUAUGUAAACCCUUAUAUUAUUUGAACAAUCAAUUUCUCAAUUUUUGUUA